UACGAAGGGUGCAAGCGUUAAUCGGAAUUACUGGGCGUAAAGCGCGCGCAGGCGGCUUCGCGCGUCCGACGUGAAAGCCCCCGGCUCAACCGGGGAGGGUCGUUGGGUACGGCGGAGCUUGAGGGCGGUAGAGGUUGGUGGAAUUCCCGGUGUAGUGGUGAAAUGCGUAGAGAUCGGGAGGAACACCUGUGGCGAAGGCGGCCAACUGGGCCGACCCUGACGCUGAGGCGCGAAGGCGUGGGGAGCGAACGGG
rnacentral:rRNA from 1 species